GGACGAACGCUGGCGGCGUGCUUAACACAUGCAAGUCGAGCGGUAAGGCCCUUUCGGGGGUACACGAGCGGCGAACGGGUGAGUAACACGUGGGUGACCUGCCCUCAGCUCUGGGAUAAGCCUGGGAAACCGGGUCUAAUACCGGAUAUGACUCCAUGACGCAUGUUGUGGGGUGGAAAGCCUUGUGCGGCUGAGGAUGGGCCCNCGGCCUAUCAGCUUGGUUGGUGGGGUGAUGGCCUACCAAGGCGACGACGGGGUAGCCGGCCUGAGA
rnacentral:rRNA from 1 species